UGAUGGUAAAUACCGAGUGUCGACUGGAUUGAAGGAUGCAAAGUAUUGAUCCUGGGUGUGUCUGUGAGGGUGUUGCCAAAGGAGGUUAACAUUUGAGUCAGUGGGCUGGGGAAGGCAGAUCCAACCUCAAUCUGGUGCGCCAUCUAAUAAGCUGCCAAUGAAUAUAAAGCAGGCAGAAAAACAUAAGAAGGUGAGACUGGCCUAGCCUCCCAGCCUGCAUCUUUCUCCCAUGCUGAAUGCUUCCUGUCCUCGAACAUCAGACUCCAAGUUCUUUAGUUUUGAGACUCGGACUGGCUUCCUUGCUCCUCAAGCUUGCAGACAGCCUAUUGUGGGACCUUGUGAUCAUAGAUCCUUGAUUAAUACAGAUGGGGUCCCACUAUGCUGCCCAGGCUGCUUUCAAACAGGGUCUUAACUCUGUCACCCAGGCUGGAGUGCAGUGGUGUGACCACAGCCACUGCAGGCUCAACCUCUGGGACUCAGGUGAUCCUCCCAUCUCAGCCUCCCAAGUAGCUGGGACUACAGGUUGCUUCUUCCAGAUCCCUUUUGAUCUACUUUCAGCUAUGGAUUCAUGAGAAUCAAGACUAAGCAGCCUGAAUUGAAGGAGUAACAGUAUCACCUAACAAUGAUUUUGCUGCCAUAGUAGCUGUUUGUAUACUGGCCAUAUGCCUAGGUAAAAUGAGGCCAGAUCACUCUCAAGAGUUUUCUAUCAGAGUUGGUGGUGAACUACUGCUCACGGAUAAUGGGUCUCACUCACUUUGUCAUCCAGGCUGGAGUGCAGUGGUGGGAUCUCAGCUCACUGCAACCUCCACCUCUUGGGUUUAAGCAAUUCUCCUGCCUCAGCCUCCCAAGUAACUGGGAUUACAGACGAGAAACCCCAGCUGAGGAGGCAAAUAUACUCAAGGAAAGUAAUAGUUUCCAAAUGCCUGGCAGUGCCAGGAAGGGGCCAUGUCCAUGGACCACUAUGUAAGGAUAUCUCAGUCUCUAGUCCAGCGUGGUUUAUGGUGCCAAAUAAGUGCCAGGUGAACUCACUACAUCUGACAAAAUCUCAAGGAACCAAGUUUACCAGAUAAUAUUUAUGAUUAUGUGAAAAAGACUGAGGAAAUCACUCAAGUGAUCCAUCAUACAGCACCUCCAGUUCCAAAGAAUACUGACUUACUUCAGCUGUACUGGUCUGGAGCUGCACAUUCUUUUCAGACAACUCUUGUUCCAGUAAGUUCAGGCUAGAGUGCAAUGGUGCAACCUCAGCUCACUGCAACCUCCGCUUCCCAGGUUCAAGCGAUUCUCCUGCUUCAGCCUCCCUGGUUGCUGGGAUUACAGGUGACUCUUCUCCUGUAACAGAGCCUCCUUCUUAGAAACUAUGGCCUCCCGUUUCUUUAAGUCUGCUUCCAGCUCCUCUAAUUCUUGGCGUUGGUUCAGAACUUUCUCUACUUCUUCAUCUAACCAUUUCUUUUGCUCAUCCAAUUUCUACAUUAAAAUUAAAAAAAAAGUUACUUGUUUUUCCUUCUGCCAUAAAAAUUAUAUGGUAAUAAUAGAAUUUCAGAUUGGCUGAAAUCUCUUAAAUGAACAUUUAAAAACUAUCACUCAGAGUAACUCAGGUAGCCGUCUGAGAUCCUAAAGACAUCAGUGGUUCUAGUCAAGAUGUAGCUAUGUUGUUUUAUAAAGAAUUAAAAUUUACUCCCCAGAUAUGUUAAACAGUCUAGGAUUUUUUAGCCUGACGAAGAAAGGGCUGAUAAUUUUCUAUGCCUAUAUUAAGAACAUGCUGGAAUCUUUUACUCUGUUGUAGUGGUGCACAGUUCCAUCACAGCACUUACACUGGUGGCUGCCCUACGUAUCUAUCUCCCCAGCUUGAGCUCCUUGAUUGAUUGCAGGGGCUGUAGUUUUUACCCGUCUAUCCACAUGGCUGGUAUAUUGCCUGGGCCACAGUAGGCAUUCAAUAAAAUGUUAAAUGAAUGAGUGAAUGAAUGCCUGAUUCAGUCAGUCAAUGAAGUGAAUAAAUGAAUACACACAGUGGAAGACACAGAUGAUGGAGGAUGGAAGGAAAGCCAAUUUGCAUUGUAGCUUGUCAACCUCAAAUAAUUAUUUUUAAAAAAGAAAAAAAACAAAAAUAAAAAAUUGCUGAAAAGAUCUCCAAAACAA
rnacentral:lncRNA from 1 species